AGGAAAUGUUGUUUAAAGGUUAAACUGUUAGAUUGCAAAUCUAUACAUUUAGAGUUCGAUUCUCUACAUUUCUUU
rnacentral:tRNA from 1 species